GAGUAGAAAGAAGGCAUUGGUUUUCAUAAUGUGCAUGAACUUGGGCUUCAAUGCAAAAUUCAUAAAGAAGAUACAAACGAAUCAUUGCUACUAAAUAAGGGGAACUCGAGGUGUUCUGUAGCAGUAUGAGAUAUUGACCUCAACACAUUUUAGACUCAGCCCUUCCCUGUAGGGUUGUAAUGAGGACUCAGAGUCUGACCUGCUGAUCAGUCAGAAGCAACAACAACUGAAAAACCUGCAGUACCAGUGUUCGUAUCCCCAUGGCUCAGCUUGCAUCACUGACACACAGAGAGGCAUAUUUCAGCCAGAAAGACAAAAGCACAUGCAGAGAAGCAAUCCUUUCCUGAUGACAUUGGCUACCUGGAAGCUGGC